UACGUAGGGUGCAAGCGUUGUUCGGAUUUACUGGGCGUAAAGGGCGCGUAGGCGGCUUGGCAAGUGGAAGGUGAAAUCCCUCGGCUUAACCGAGGAACUGCCCUCCAAACUGCUUCGCUUGAGACCGGGAGAGGUGAGUGGAAUUCCCAGUGUAGCGGUGAAAUGCGUAGAUAUUGGGAGGAACACCAGUGGCGAAGGCGGCUCACUGGACCGGUACUGACGCUGAUGCGCGAAAGCGUGGGGAGCAAACGGG
rnacentral:rRNA from 1 species